rnacentral:lncRNA from 10 species
GUUUAGGCCGGAAAUGGUCUAGUUCUCAGAGGUGGUCCGAUCCCUAACCAGUCCCAGGCCCAGCCCCAGCCCAGCACCACCUGGAAGGUUCAAGUACAUGGAGGAGAGGAGGCUUGGCGUAGACCGCGCACUGGAAGGCGUGCGCGCAGGUGUGCGUGACCAUGUGCUUGAAACGGCAGUAGCGCAGCGAGAAGGAUCGCCAUCACACGGCGCACUGGUGCGGCUUCUCCCCCGAGUGGAUGAACAUGUGCUUGGUGUCGUUUUUCCUUGAGCUGAACGUCUUGCAACAGUGGCCGCACGCAUAGCUGCCCCAGAUCCCGGAAGAAAAUCUCUCCCACACCACUGUAGUCAGAGAGGCCAGUGGGUGCAUGGAACUCCUCGCACGCGCUGUCAGCAGCAGCAGUGAGGAAGCCGGCAGCACAGUCUGGGAAGGAAGGAGGUGCUUGGCUCUCUCCCGGGCCGCCACCUUCGCCGUCCUCGCCAUCGGUCUCAUCGUCAGUUUCCUCGUCAUCGUUGUCACCUCGGUCGUCAGGGGCCGCGGACAGUGAGGGGCACCACCGAAGGCACACGGAUCUCAGAGGGGCCGAGCAGCAGCUUGUCUUGGAAGGAGGGCGAGCCGAUUGCCAGCCCGCAGCGGUGCGCACGCAGCGAAGCUUCAUGAAUGCACACAGUCACGUCGCAGAAGUGCCCACCCAGCUUCUGCCCAUUGAGGGUCUCAAGCAGAGAGCGUGAGAAGUUCUGCAGAUGUAUGUGGCGCACAGCCUCUACAGCCGCCGACUCCGACUCCUCUUCAGGCACCAGGCCUGGCCGUGGCCGCCUUCUCACCGACUCCAAGGCAGCACUUCCGGGCGCUUCUCUUUAUUUUUAUACAGUUUUAUUGAGAUAUAAUUUACAUGCUAUCCAGCCCAUCUAUUUCAAGUGUACCAUGCAAGGGGUUUGUAUAUAUUCACAGAGUUGUGUAUCCAUCACCAUCGUUUUAGAACAUUCAUCACUCCAGAAGAAACUACGUACCCAUCAGCAGCCACUGCCCAUUUCCCUGAUCUGCCCCGCCCUAGGAAAUCCGUAAUCACUUUCAGUCUAUGGAUUUGCCUAUUCUAGACCAUUCAUAUAAAUGAAGUCACACAACACUGGGUCUUAUGUGACUGGCUUCUAUCAAAGUUUGCAAGGUUCAUUUAUGUUCAUGCCAACCAGCCAAGUAACAAAACAAAUAAGCAAACAGCCAACCAAUCAACCAACAAGCAAGCAAGCAACAAACCAACCAAACAAGCAAGCAAGCAAGCAAGCAAGCAACCAACCAACCAAGUAACCGAUCAAACCAACCCUUGGAGCCCUUUCUAAAACUUUGACCUACAACCCUGAAUCCAGAAUCUCUGUUUAGUGGGCCAACAUUAAUAAAUUUAGCCUACUCCAACUUUGUGUUACUUCCACCAUGGUGCCACACACUUAAUAUCCAUUCCCACAUAUAUUCUCCAGAUUUCUUUCUGUAUAAAUUGUGUGUGUGUGUGUGUGUGUGUGUGUGUGUGUAGAAAGAGAGCAUCAACUGAAAAAUCACACAAUUUUAUAAAUUUAGAAAAGAGAGCUUUAUUUCUUAUAAAGGUUUGCAGCCUGCAAGGUGGCCAUUAUGACAGGCUGGGAAGUGUGGCCUACAGCCAAGGCUAGAGGCAGGCCCUUCCAGGGAGGGAAGGAGAGGACAGGAAUUUGAGCUGAAUGAGUUGACUACAUAUACAUACUCAAUAGGAUAUCAGAGGAGCUAUAUCAUUUUAUGAGAAUACUCAUAAAAGAGGUCCUAACACAUGCAUAUUGAAUAAACAUGCAUGUUCAUUCUGGGGUGGAGACUUGACAUUUAAAUGUGUUAUAAUUAGGCCCUACACAUCAAAAAGUGAAGCAGGGAAUGAAGGUACUCAGCCUCUGUAAAGGCACAGCCUCUAAAACUGGCCAGAACCAGUCCAUGGAGGAUGGUCUCUUAUCAGGAGAAAGUUACUGAAAUCAGUCCCUUGUCCAGUGAAAGCUGUCGUUAAGGUCGGUGGGGCAGGAGAUCAGUUACUCAGUGUCUGUGAACUGGGUGAGUUGUAAUUGUUUUAAUCUUGCUUCUCUCAUAGCCAGUGCUUGCUUGGCUGCUAGAGAAAAAUAAAAACUAUGUGGUAGUUAGAAUCUAGUUUAUUCUUUAAGAGUAGGGUACAAGACUUAACCCUUGCCUGGCAUGGCCCUAGGUCCUGUUUAUAAUUUGGGGUCUUAUUGCCACAAAGAGUCUGUUCUGUCAGUCUCAUGAUCUCUAUUUUAACGUUAAUGCUGUUCAGUUGUUGGGUCUAAACCAUAAGAGGGAGAGAGGUACAGGGAGUUAUGUCUGACCUCCUGUCCUGUCAUGGCCAAGAACUGAAUUUUAAGAUUUAUUUGAGGUUCCGUUGGCCAACAGGGGGUCUGUUAAGUCGGGUGGGGGGCUUAGGGUUUCAUUUUUAGUUCUCAAGGGAGAUAAAAUAAUUUAAUCAAUUGGCCCCUGUGACUAUUGGACUAACAUGGCUAUGAUCUGUCAGACAGACUUCAGGCUGGCACCCAGGCAAAAUUCUAUACUGUAGUAAAUGCAUCAUGCACAUUUGUAACAACAUGUACAUAACAAUGUCACAAAAUACUUUCACGGUGACACCUAGAUUAGUGUUUUAUUGAAUAGCUGAUGAUAUAAACUGGCUCAUUUGAUGCCAAGACUGACCAUCACCACCAUACCAAG